GUCGAAUGCUGGCGGCGUGUCUAAGGCAUGCAAGUCGAACGAUCCCUUCGGGGAUAGUGGCAAACGGGAGAGUAACACAUUGGUAACUUACCCUGAACUCGCGAACAACCCAUGGAAACGUGGGCUAAUACGCGAUAUCGAUGGGGGGACGGCAAGUCAUUCCCACUUGAAAGUUACCGACGGUUCAGGAGAGGCCUAUGUCCUAUCAGCUAGUUGGUGAGGUAAAAGACUCACCAAGGCUACGACGGGUACCGGGCGUGAGAGCGUGACCCGGCUCACUGGGACGUGAGACACUGCCCAGACUCCUACGGGAGGCUGCAGUCGAGAAUCUUCCGCAAUGCACGAAAGUGUGACGGAGCGACGCCGCGUGUCGGAUGAAGGCC
rnacentral:rRNA from 1 species